rnacentral:lncRNA from 1 species
GUAGGCUGGGAAUCUGGCCGGGGGUCUGGUUGGGGAGCAGGCUCUGGGGCUGGUUCAGGUGGGGCUGCAGACUCCAGCCUGGACCCCUGGUCUGCAGUGGCCUCUUUGCUCACUUCUGGUUUGGACACUGUUUCUUGGCAUGGGUCUUCGGGGCUGCAGUUGGCCUUUGAUUCCCCUCCUGGGCUUAAGCUGAGGUCUGUGGCCUGGGCUGUUUCUGAGGCCCCAGCCGGGGUCUCUGUGGUUUCUGGAGCCAGCCCAGCCUUGGGCCCUGAGUCCACAGGGGCCGCAGUGGUGUUUGGACCUGGCUGCGGGGCCUCUGGCUGGUCUGGUACCCCUGCUAGGACCUGGGGAGGGCCAGUUUCAGCUUCAGAAUGGCCAGGCCCUUCGCCUGGAACCUUGGGACUCUCCUCAACCCCCUUCAUCUCAGAGAUCUCAGAGCUGCUGGCUGCCAUCUUGAGAUGGGAGAGGGGAGAGAGCCCCUAUGGGGAGGAUGGAAUAGCAGAGACAGCGGCAAACCCUGGAAGAGGAGGAGAUAGGCUUGGGGUGAGGAGGGAAGAGGGCGCUCAGCA